CUGUGACCCUGGCAGAGCGUGUGCCAGCAGCAGCGAGGGGAUGGACCAGAGCAGGGUCUGGGUGCCAGCACACAGCUACCUUCCCCAGAGCCAAGCCAUUAUUACCAAAACUACAAAAUCCCAGCGUGGAUCUUCCUGCUGAAUAAUGCCUGAAGAGAACUGCAAGCACCAUCACAGAGAUGUCACUCCAGCAAUGAGGGACUGUGCCUAAUGCUGGAAUUACUGACAUCUGUAUAUCAUUUCAGUGGCAAAUUACAGCUGGGACAUGCUAACCCCAAAGUAAAAUAAAGAUCCCAGAAACCAUCAAAGCUGUUACAGGUCUCCAGGAAUAUCUCUAUUUCAGUCUCAGAUGUGAUGGUAUCGAAGCACUGGCUGGGAACCACUGUUCUCAUCAGUACAUACCAUCCGACUCUGGAAUAAAUCUGUGGCCAGAGUUCAGCUUGGAUGGUGAAGCUGAAGCUACAGAGAUAAGAAACUGCCUGAAAUGUCUCCUUGUACCUGCACUAUGGUCAUGGGAAGCAUGGAAAUUAUGGAAGCAGUGGAUUCCCAGCCUUCUGACAUUUGCUGCAUUCUCCUUGUGCUGAUCUUAUGUAUCUUAGCCCAGUAUUAAAUCUGACUGCCUGCAAAAUAAUGCUCUAGAGUUAUUUUCUGUUGUACAUACAAAAUGCUCAAGUGGUUGAGUAGACUGCAUUUCAUCCAGAUUUAACAUAAAGUUAUUAUCAUUAAAUAAUCAUUAAAUGCUGCUGUGAAUGAGAUUUAUACAGCAGUGAUAAACUUACAGUCCCCAUCAGGUUCUCUACACACUUUAC